rnacentral:rRNA from 1 species
UACAGAGGUCUCAAGCGUUGUUCGGAUUCAUUGGGCGUAAAGGGUGUGUAGGUGGCGCGCUAAGUCGGGUGUGAAAUUUCGGAGCUUAACUCCGAAACUGCAUUCGAUACUGGCGUGCUUGAGGACUGGAGAGGAGACUGGAAUUCAUGGUGUAGCAGUGAAAUGCGUAGAGAUCAUGAGGAAGACCAGUGGCGAAGGCGGGUCUCUGGGCCUGUACUGACGCUGAGGAACGAAAGCGUGGGGAGCGAACAGG